UUGCCGACUACGAUGUACAUGUUCGGCCUGCCUACAACCAGAGUAUUCCGACGAAGAUAAAUGCUGUCUUCUGGAUGAAGCAACUGGAAUUUUUAGACAUGAAGAAGCAGGCCAUGAAGUCUCUGGGCCAUUUUAGCAUCAAUUGGAUUGACGAAUUUCUGCAGUGGAACUCUUCCGACUAUAAUGGAGUAAAAUACAUCACUGUCCUCGAAAAUAGAAUAUGGAAGCCAGACUAUGUCAUCAACAAUGACAUUACAUCCAAAAAGAAGAUGGGAGAUGGCAGCAGUUU